AAGCAGAGGGGGCUUAGUGGUGGGGUGACUGCGUACCUUUUGUAUAAUGGGUCAGCGACUUAUAUUCUGUAGCAAGGUUAACCGAAUAGGGGAGCCGGAGGGAAACCGAGUCUUAACCGGGCGUUAAGUUGCAGGGUAUAGACCCGAAACCCGGUGAUCUAGCCAUGGGCAGGUUGAAGGUUGGGUAACACUAACUGGAGGACCGAACCGACUAAUGUUGAAAAAUUAGCGGAUGACCUGUGGCUGGGGGUGAAAGGCCAAUCAAACCGGGAGAUAGCUGGUUCUCCCCGAAAGCUAUUUAGGUAGCGCCUCGUGAAUUCAUCUCCGGGGGUAGAGCACUGUUUCGGCUAGGGGGUCAUCCCGACUUACCAACCCGAUGCAAACUGCGAAUACCGGAGAAUGUUAUCACGGGAGACACACGGCGGGUGCUAACGUCCGUCGUGAAGAGGGAAACAACCCAGACCGCCAGCUAAGGUCCCAAAGUCAUGGUUAAGUGGGAAACGAUGUGGGAAGGCCCAGACAGCCAGGAUGUUGGCUUAGAAGCAGCCAUCAUUUAAAGAAAGCGUAAUAGCUCACUGGUCGAGUCGGCCUGCGCGGAAGAUGUAACGGGGCUAAACCAUGCACCGAAGCUGCGGCAGCGAACGUAUCACCCAAGACAACUUUACGGAGUUGACGAUUGAUGGAGCGAAGCGACGUCAAAGCGUUCAUUAAAGUCGAGUUGGCUUAGGGAUACGUUCGUUGGGUAGGGGAGCGUUCUGUAAGCCUGUGAAGGUGGCCUGUGAGGGUUGCUGGAGGUAUCAGAAGUGCGAAUGCUGACAUAAGUAACGAUAAAGCGGGUGAAAAGCCCGCUCGCCGGAAGACCAAGGGUUCCUGUCCAACGUUAAUCGGGGCAGGGUGAGUCGACCCCUAAGGCGAGGCCGAAAGGCGUAGUCGAUGGGAAACGGGUUAAUAUUCCCGUACUUGGUGUUACUGCGAAGGGGGGACGGAGAAGGCUAUGUUGGCCGGGCGACGGUUGUCCCGGUUUAAGCGUGUAGGUGUGUGUUCCAAGUAAAUCCGGUUCACUUUAACACUGAGGCGUGAUGACGAGGCACUACGGUGCUGAAGCAACAAAUGCCCUGCUUCCAGGAAAAGCCUCUAAGCAUCAGGUAACAUCAAAUCGUACCCCAAACCGACACAGGUGGUCAGGUAGAGAAUACCAAGGCGCUUGAGAGAACUCGGGUGAAGGAACUAGGCAAAAUGGUGCCGUAACUUCGGGAGAAGGCACGCUGACACGUAGGUGAAGUGAUUUACUCA
rnacentral:rRNA from 1 species